UGGUCUUUGGUAGAUGUUAAAGCACAACCUGCUGUGCUAAAUAUAGAUCCAUUCAAAAGAAUUCUAUACAGCCUUUUAUUUAAUUCUAAAAAUAACAGAUUUCCUGAUGGGACGUCGACAACAGUCUUACAACUUCCUGGAAUAGGGGGAGGUCAGACUCAGAGGACUUCCCCUUUCUGAGCUUAGCCAUGGGUGGGAAGAACAGAGACGGAAAAAAGUGUGAGAAAGGGAGAAAAAAAAUAUACUCAAAACAUUACUGCUUGCUGCCGAUCAAUACAGAGGUCAGGUUUUUUCUGUGACUUCAUUUGAUGAGGUCCCAGCCAAGGUCUACCGUCUAUCGGGGAGUUUCCAGCUGGGUUCGUUUGAGGUUUCCAGAGAUCCAGAGAGAUUGUUUCUAGAGUCCAUGAUCCAUAGAUUCCCAGUGUGAGCUGGGUGGCGAGCCACAUUGAAACCACCGAUAUUGAACUGGGAGUGGUGAAGGAUUCCUUCAUUCCCCCUUCCUCACGGACUGUGUGGUAGGACAGAAUACACAUACACUGAUCCAUUUGACAUGGAUCUGAAGAAGAAGGGCCCCAACACUAACUUUGGGACAGAGGAUUUUAUUUUGCCGGCUUUAUUAUUUUAGUUGUUAUUUUUCAUUGAAUGUCUUGCAACAAACUGUUGUAUUUUCAUUGUGUUAUUGGUUAUUAAUAACAAGUGGCCACACAAAAAACUCAAA